GCCACAUCGCAGCGUUCGAUCAAAGCUCCAGGUUGAUAUCCCCUUUUAGUUCAUACAUAUAUUUUGAUCAUGGUUUGUUUCUUCCAAACUCCUCCAAGAUCCUCCCCACUUCACCCCACCCAAGUUCGUGUUCUCUCUUUCUCUUUCUCUCUCUCUCUUCCUCCCUCCUUCCUCCUUACGUUCCCCUCUGUUUUAUCAAGGUGGUGGAAUACUUUAAUUUCAUACACCUGGGGUCAAAGCUGAGCUUAGUGUCUGCCAUUUAGCUGUCCAGUAAAUACAAAGCAGAGAAAGAAAAAGAAAAAAGAAACCUCAAGAAACAAGAGCAUGUAUUCUUCACUCUGCGAAAGAGAAUUCCCUGUUCAGUUGUGAAUAGGUCUUUAUGUGAAGAACGGGUGUGGCGGCAGUCCCAAGAUGGCGCCUGGGACUGCAGCUAAGCCUCAUGUCUAGCACCUGACUUCCUCACACACCGGAAACUAGCCACGUCCAUUGUGAGAGCUGCGCAGGCGCACCAUGACACAAGAUCAGGCCAUGUGAUGUGGACCUAUGAACUGAGAUUACGCAGUCUGGACUGAGGAGGCAGAGUUGAGGGAGGAUAUAAGGGAGUGUGCUGGGGGCUGAGGAGAGAGAAGAAAAGAAAGAUUCCUGCUUGCAUGCGGAAAGAAAGGUUCCUGAAUAAACCACUUUAAGAAGAACGCUGUGCCAGAAUUCAGCAAACACAGAGACGAAUGCCAGCAGCAAUCCACUGAACUGAGAUCGGGACCCCCGUUGAAGGAAUCAGAGAAAGAACUAGAAGAGCUUGAAGGGGCUCGAGACCCCAUAUGUACAACAAUGUCAAGCAACCAGAGCUUCCAGGGACUAAGCCACUACCUAAAGUCUAUACAUGGACUGACCCUGGACUCUGACCUCAUAGGUAGCAAUAAAUAUCCUAGUAAGAGCACCAGAGGAAGGGGAAGCCCUGGGUCCUGCUAAGACUGAACCCCCAGUGAACUAGACUGUUGGGGGGAGGGCGGCAAUGGGGGGAGGGUUGGGAGGGGAACACCCAUAAGGAAGGGGAGGGGGGAGGGGGAUGUUUGCCCGGAAACCGGGAAAGGGAAUAACACUUGAAAUGUAUAUAAGAAAUACUCAAGUUAAAAAAAAAAAAAAGUGAAUAAGCCCAACCAAAGCCUGCUGGGUGGAUAGCACUGAGAAAUAUUCCUUAUUUUCUCUUCUGCCAAUCCCUAAGUCACUCUUAAAUAACGGCCUAUGUACACCGGAAAAAAAAAAAAAAAAAAAAAAAAAAAAAAGAAGAACGCUGUGUCGUCGCUCUUUUCUGCGGGUCAGAGACAGAAGCGACAUCUUUAUGGUUCCCCAGUUAAAGAAAACAAAAGCAAAAAUAACGAUGUCGGAAAUCUUCAGAGAUCUAUCUGUGUCCCCCCCAAACUAAACUUACACUUUAAAGAUGUAUGCUCUGAACUCAGAAAAAGAAGUGCUAUGCCCGAAACGGAUCUUAAAACUGAAGCUCUAGGACCUUGAAUUCAAUCUCAUGGCCAACAUUACUGCUGACUCAGAGAACACAAGCUCGUCCGUGCAAUCUUUGACCAUCCUGACAGACAAUAGUCUCCAGAGGGACCUGAGUACACUGGUAGGGAAGGCAUUGGCUGGGAUGGAGAGAAGGCAGAGGAGCAAGCUCUAGUGCAGGAUGCUGACAUGCUUGCCCCAUGAUGGUAACAGGUUUGUGGAGAUGCUCUCUGGGUUAGUUAUUUCAGAAUCUAGAAACUUGACAAGGAAUUAUGGAAAUCUAUUAUGUUUAGAUUUAACUAAUUUGCCACUGGCCUCUUCAAGAUGGAAGAGAAUAUUUUUCAAGGGGGAAAGUAAAAAUUCAGAAGAAAAUAGGUUGGCAGUAUGUCUUCUAUACCCCCACUGUCAAGGGCCUACGACUCUCACAGGUUCCCAUUCUACCCACAUCUUCCCACUCUACAAGUCCACUGCAUUUGUCUCAGUUAGUGGAUGUGGUGACUGAGCCAAACGCUGUGGGGGAAAGGUGAGGACAGUGGAGGGUCCUUCAUCUUUAUGACUUGUAUCCGUCGGCGGUCUUCCACUGAGUCUGCUCUAUCUCACCUCCUCACCAGUGUUCUGCUUUCCUUGUUACCCUUUCCUACUAACAUCGCAUGGCUUUAAAAACACAAACAGAACCAAACCUCUGGAUCACUGCUGCAUUCCUUUUAAAUUGGCUUCCCUUUCACUUCUGUUUUUCCCUCAACAAUUCUUAUAUUCAUCUGGCCAAAAGAUGUUCUGAAAAUACAGAGCUUGUAGGCUUGUAUGGUUGUCCUGUUUAUAUACCCUUUCAAUGACUCACCACAGUUAAAUGUUUUAAUUUGAUAUGUUAUUUUACAUUUGUAUGUGUGUGUUCAUACAUCCUCAUGGAAAGAUAUAGCCUUGUCUGAGAAUUGAAAAGUGAUAUAGGCUGAUAUAGAUACGAAGAUAUAUAUAUAUAUUUAAUGUAUAUAGACAGCAUUAAAUUUGGUGUUUAUGUUUAAACUUGAUACCACGCUUUGGACAGUUCUUGUUUCAUUGAUCCACUUCUUUUGAAUUCAUUAUAGUCACCAAUACCGAGAUACAUCAUAUUCAGUAAUUUAUCUAAUAAUCUCCUUUAUGGUGAGGAUUUAUGUUUUUAAAAAUGUAUUUUAGGAUAGGUAUGUAGAUGUAGAGUUUAUUUUCUUUCCUAUUUUUUUUUAAGAGACAGGGUAUCCUUGCUGGUGUAGAACUCCUUAUAUCAGAGAUUCUCAACCUGUGGGUCAUGACCCCAUUGACAAACCUUUAUCUCCAAAAAGGUUUCAUAUUAUGAUUCACAACAGUAGCAAAGUUACAGUUCUGAAGUAGCAGCAAAAAUAAUUUUAUGGUGUGGAGGGAUCAUAUAUAUGCCUUUAAAAAUAUUGUGAAUAUUUCCGAAUCAUCUGCCAGAAGUCUGCAUUCGUCUAUACUUUUAACAGUAGCGAAUUGCAAGUAUGUUUCAUUUCCCAUGUAAUCUCUGACUCUGGUAGUGCUGAUAAUCUAAAUUUUGCUAAAACAAUAUCCUGGGUGUAUUUGAGCUACUCUAUUUGUGUGGCUGUGACUGCUCUCUGCUCACCUGUUUCACUGUUGGACUUUUCUAAUUAAUAUUAAAUCAACUAAAAAUUGUUUUCAUGAGAGAUCUAUGCUUUCAUCCACUUUUUAAUUGUGUUCUUUGAUGUUGCAUAUGACAACUCAAGUGAUAACUGGAAAGCCCUGUCCCUUGUCCUUCUGUCUACUUAUGUCUUUGACUGUUGGCUAAAUAAAUCUUGAUUCAUUGGGCAUUUCUCCAAAACAAAUCUUAUCAUCAUGAUUACCUACCUUUGGACAAAGUAUACUUUCAUGAUCUUACCUAUAAUGUGCCUUCUGAAAUUAGAGAGAAAUAUAAUGAUUAAUGUGAGAAUCCACCCUCUGCACAAGCCUUCUCCCAUGGAUACAGACAGAUACCACAUUGGGACACAUGCUGUGAAUCCUUAGCUACCCGACAGAAUGGAUUUCUUACCUGGGAACUGAGUUAACAUCCAAGAGUACGACUUACUGUUAAGCGAGUGACAUCAUUGUUGCCACACUACUCUUUUCUCAUUUGCCAGCCUCUUGCUUGGGAACCAGUCUGACUGUGGACUCUGAGUGAUCUCCCUCCUCUUCAGAGAGCUAUAAUAGCAGACUUCUCCUUCUACCACAAAAGUUCCGAUGCUCUUCGCCAAGGCCACAUUACUGUCUGUCUCUUGUUCUGCAGUCUGAACGCUACUGAGCUCCCACCAUGGUGUUUACUUUCUGUUUUCCCAUGGUGUUAAUAACCCUCCAAUAAACUCCUUAAACUCCAUUAAUCUGCCUUUCUGGUGCCCACCCCACCCUAAACCUAAUGAACAGCAGAUGCCAACAACUUAAGGGCUUCUCAAAGUCUCUAAUUUUCAGCAACUUAAAGUGCAGCUGCUCCUUCAGCCACAGUAGUGCAAUACUUGACCGAACACUGUCUACCAAGACUGCGCCAGCCUUGGUGCUCUCCGUCAUCCUUGGUUAUUCCUCUAUCUUCUACCUAACUUUAUUGAUGACACAUUACUAUUUUUUUAAGCUCAUUUUCCUUGUGUAGAUUCUAGACAUGAACACUUUGUUUCUUAUUUGUUCUUAAAGAAGCAGAUGGAGCACUUCAUUAUAAUACUUCAAAUAAUCCAUUAAUUAACAACUAGUCAUAUAGAAAUAAUAGGUCAUUGAAAACAGACAGUGAUUGUUAAAAUGCUGAAGAGUUUUUAGUAUUAUGCUGUAUAGGAAGACGUGAGACCACUUCUUAAACUUUCCCCUCAGUGUUGGACAUAAUGUGCUGUAUUGCGAAGAUUCUUAGCUCUGACACACACUUUUAACAAAGUACCAGGCUACAAAAAUCUAUAUUCAAAAUCCAAAGUUUUUUUUUUCUAUGCCAAUAAUAAACAUAUAGAGAUAAGGUCAGGGAAGGCGUUUAUUUAUAGUAACUUCAGAAAUGCCGUGAAUAAACAUUUAAGGAAGGGAGUGAUGUAUACCAUGAGAAAUAACGAAGAAAGAAAAGGAAGAAACUAGGAGAUGGGAAGACCUCUCCUGCUCAAAGCAUGGCAGAACUAAUAUUGUAAAACACCUACAUUGCCAAAAGUGAUUCACAGGUUCAUGCACUCUCCAGAAAAUUUCCAAUGACAUUAUUCACAGAAGUAGGAAAAAAAAUCCUGAGUUUUACUUGGAAGUACAAAAGACUCAGAAUAGUUAAGAUAAUCCCAAGUAAAAGGAACAUUGACAGUAGAAUCAUAAUGCCCAAUUUCAAAUAUACUAUAGAUCUAUAGUACUAAAAGCAUGAUGAUACUGGCAGAAAAUCUAGCAUGAAGAUGUGUAGAAGAAAAUAGAGGACCCAGAAUUAAACCGCAUGACUACAGCCACUAUGAUCUUGAGUACUCGAACUGGAAAAAAGAAAAGGUAUAAAGAAUGCUGGAUAUCCACAUGCAGAAGAAUGAAACUAGAUCCAUAUCUCUUAUCAUCCACAAAAA